UACGAAGGGGCUAGCGUUGCUCGGAAUUACUGGGCGUAAAGCGCACGUAGGCGGCUUGUUAAGUCGGAGGUGAAAUCCUGGAGCUCAACUCCAGAACUGCCUUCGAUACUGGCGAGCUUGAGUUCGGGAGAGGUGAGUGGAACUGCGAGUGUAGAGGUGAAAUUCGUAGAUAUUCGCAAGAACACCAGUGGCGAAGGCGGCUCACUGGCCCGAUACUGACGCUGAGGUGCGAAAGCGUGGGGAGCAAACAGGGA
rnacentral:rRNA from 1 species